UACGUAGGGGGCAAGCGUUGUCCGGAUUUAUUGGGCGUAAAGAGCGUGUAGGCGGCUUUACAGGUCCGUUGUGAAAACUCGAGGCCCAACCUCGAGACGCCGGUGGAAACCGUAAAGCUAGAGUCCGGAAGAGGAGAGUGGAAUUCCUGGUGUAGCGGUGAAAUGCGCAGAUAUCAGGAGGAACACCCGUGGCGAAAGCGGCUCUCUGGGACGGUACUGACGCUGAGACGCGAAAGCGUGGGGAGCAAACAGG
rnacentral:rRNA from 1 species